rnacentral:rRNA from 1 species
UAGGGAAUCUUCCGCAAUGGACGCAAGUCUGACGGAGCAACGCCGCGUGAGUGAAGAAGGAUUUCGGUUCGUAAAACUCUGUUGUUAGAGAAGAACAGCGCAUAGAGUAACUGUUAUGCGUGUGACGGUAUCUAACCAGAAAGCCACGGCUAACUACGUGCCAGCAGCCGCGGUAAUACGUAGGUGGCAAGCGUUGUCCGGAUUUAUUGGGCGUAAAGCGAGCGCAGGCGGUCAAUUAAGUCUGAUGUGAAAGCCCCCGGCUCAACCGGGGAGGGUCAUUGGAAACUGGUUGACUUGAGUGCAGAAGAGGAGAGUGGAAUUCCAUGUGUAGCGGUGAACUGCGUAGAUAUAUGGAGGAACACCAGUGGCGAAGGCGACUCUCUGGUCUGUAACUGACGCUGAGGUUCGAAAGCGUGGGUAGCAAACAGG